AUUGAAGGGCAAGUCUGGUGCCAGCAGCCGCGGUAAUUCCAGCUCCAAUAGCGUAUAUUAAAGUUGUUGCGGUUAAAAAGCUCGUAGUUCGAGUUCAGUUUCGGACUGGGGUGGGAGGUCACCGCCCGGUGCUUCCCCUCUAGGCUCCGAACAGUUUCCUUUUAGGAAGCCAAGCCGGUUCUGGCGGGGUGCUCUUUACCGAGUGUCCCGCGCGGCCGGCCAGUUCACCUUGAAUAAAUGAGAGUGCUCAAAGCAGGCUACUCUGGAAUACAAUGCCCGAAUGUUAACUGCAUGGAAUGAUGGAAGAUGAUCUCGGUUCCAUUUUGUUGGUGGUGGGAGCCAGAGGUAAUGAUAAACAGGGACUGUCGGGGGCAUCCGUACUACGACGCGAGAGGUGAAAUUCAGUGACCGUCGUAGGACGAACAACAGCGAAAGCAUUUGCCAAGAAUGUCUUCGUUGAUCAAGAACGAAAGUUAGAGGAUCGAAGGCGAUCAGAUACCGCCCUAGUUCUAACCCUAAACGAUGCUGACUAGCAAUUCGCCGUCGUUAUUCCCAUGACGUGGCGAGACGCCCCCGGGAAACCUCAAGUUUUUGAGUUCCGGGGGUAGUAUGGUUGCAAAAUUGAAACUUAA
rnacentral:rRNA from 1 species